UUACGGCUUCAUCCUUUUGAACAUUUUUUUGGGGCAGCAGAACAUUCCAUAGGUUGUGAAUGCUAUAGUGUAAACUAUUGUGAAGAUAUCGGAAGCGAGAAUACUUGCAUGAGUAGCACAAAACAACGAUAAACGUUGUGGCCGUAAGUCUAAGGUUUC
rnacentral:rRNA from 1 species